UAAAACCCGACUUUACUCACCCUUUAAACCAUCUACGAGCCGAAAUUUUCGUGUCUGUGGGACAGACAAGCACCCCGUCUUUAGCUGAGCUAAGGAAAAGUUCUGCAACACCAACAUCUUGAUUUUAUCUCCUAUGAAAUCCACAUUGGUCUUCUGACCUCCAGAAAGCUAUGGUGCAGUAUGAUGACCACCAUCCCAGUCUGCCAAGGAAUGAGUAACUUCCUGCAAUUUAGGACUUUCGGCCCUAAAACCAGUACAGUCCUGGACACACUAAGAUUGUUGGUCACCCUAGAAGAAUGGAGAUCUGGCGGCUACCACUCACAUAUACUCGUAGAACAUUGAUUGCAAGGUAACUUACUGGCUGAAGCAGGUGAUGCAUUGCUUCGGUGGGGCUGAUGUCGAAAACCUUCAGCUUCCCAAGACAACACUGAUCAGGCCUCCAGGAGCAUUUCUCCUGCUCAGUGUCACAGUGCCACUGCAGAGCGCAAUUCCUGGGGCACGUCGGACAUUCAGUAAAUACGUUUAUUGAAUGAAUAAAACAUAACACAGAAACAGAGCGACCUCAGGGCAAGGGACCACGAGAAAUGAAGACAUUCCCUAGGUAUCUGAGAGCUGGCAAUCAAAAGCUGAUGGAGGAUGCUUCAGUAUUUCAACUAUAUGCAAGAACUGAUCAAGACGCCAUAAAGUGCAACUUGGAGCAACUGCAGACCAUGAAAUCGAAUAUUUUCUACAAAUAACAAUAAAGAAAUGAAAUAUAGCAUGCGGAAGGGUGUAGGAACAUAAAACUGCAUGGACAAAGAAGAGAAUCCGUGGAUCACGCAGAAACAAUAUAAGAGACAAAAGUGGAACUUCUGCAGUCCCAGCUACUCAGAAGGCUGACGCAGGAGGAUCGCUUGAGCCCAGGAGUUUGAGCCUGCAGCGAGCUAUGUUCAUACCACUGCACCCCAGCCUGAGUGACAGAGUAAAACCCUGUCUCUAAAAAAGAAAAAAAAAAGUAGAACCCAUAGGAAGCAGGUCAAAGGAAUAAAGGAAUUCCCAUGUUAUUAUUUGUUGUUGUUGUUAAAAACAUAUUGAGUGAAUGAAAGCAGACACACAUAACCAUAUACUGAUUGAUUCUAUUUAUAUGAAGUUCAUAAAUCAACAAAGCAAAUCUAUAGUUAUAGAACUGAGAAAGGGUUUAGGUAUGGGAAGUGGGAGGAAGUGGCAGGAAAAGGGCAUAAGACAACUUAUAUGGUGAUAAAUACUCUCCCG
rnacentral:lncRNA from 1 species